rnacentral:rRNA from 1 species
GAUGAACGCUGGCGGCGUGCCUAAUACAUGCAAGUCGAGCGAACGGACGAGAAGCUUGCUUUUCUGAUGUUAGCGGCGGACGGGUGAGUAACACGUGGAUAACCUACCUAUAAGACUGGGAUAACUUCGGGAAACCGGAGCUAAUACCGGAUAAUAUUUUGAACCGCAUGGUUCAAAAGUGAAAGACGGUCUUGCUGUCACUUAUAGAUGGAUCCGCGCUGCAUUAGCUAGUUGGUAAGGUAACGGCUUACCAAGGCAACGAUGCAUAGCCGACCUGAGAGGGUGAUCGGCCACACGGGAACGGAGACACGGUCCAGACUCCUACGGGAGGCAGCAGUAGGGAAUCUUACGCAAUGGGCGAAAGCCUGACGGAGCAACGCCGCGUGAGUGAUGAAGGUCUUCGGAUCGUAAAACUCUGUUAUUAGGGAAGAACAUAUGUGUAAGUAACUGUGCACAUCUUGACGGUACCUAAUCAGAAAGCCACGGCUAACUACGUG